UGAGGAAUAUUGGUCAAUGGACGCAAGUCUGAACCAGCCAAGUAGCGUGCAGGAUGACGGCCCUAUGGGUUGUAAACUGCUUUUAUAUGGGGAUAAAGUGGGGAACGUGUUCCCUUUUGCAGGUACCAUAUGAAUAAGGACCGGCUAAUUCCGUGCCAGCAGCCGCGGUAAUACGUAGGGCGCAAGCGUUAUCCGGAAUUAUUGGGCGUAAAGAACUUGUAGGCGGUUCGUCGCGUCUGGUGUGAAAGCCCAUCGCUUAACGGUGGGUUUGCGCCGGGUACGGGCGGGCUAGAGUGCAGUAGGGGAGACUGGAAUUCCCGGUGUAACGGUGGAAUGUGUAGAUAUCGGGAAGAACACCAAUGGCGAAGGCAGGUCUCUGGGCUGUUACUGACGCUGAGAAGCGAAAGCGUGGGGAGCGAACAGG
rnacentral:rRNA from 1 species